rnacentral:rRNA from 2 species
GGUUAAGCGACUAAGCGUACACGGUGGAUGCCCUGGCAGUCAGAGGCGAUGAAGGACGUGCUAAUCUGCGAUAAGCGUCGGUAAGGUGAUAUGAACCGUUAUAACCGGCGAUUUCCGAA